GAUGAACGCUGGCGGCGUGCCUAAUACAUGCAAGUCGAGCGAACAGACGAGGAGCUUGCUCCUCUGACGUUAGCGGCGGACGGGUGAGUAACACGUGGAUAACCUACCUAUAAGACUGGGAUAACUUCGGGAAACCGGAGCUAAUACCGGAUAAUAUAUUGAACCGCAUGGUUCAAUAGUGAAAUACGGUUUUGCUGUCACUUAUAGAUGGAUCCGCGCCGCAUUAGCUAGUUGGUAAGGUAACGGCUUACCAAGGCGACGAUGCGUAGCCGACCUGAGAGGGGGAUAGGCCGCCUUGGAGCUGGAACACGGUCAAGGCGACUACGGGAGGCAGCAGUAGCGAACCUUCGGCAAUGGGCGAGAACCUGGCGGAGUGAGGCCGCGUGAGUGACGAAGAUCUUCCGUGCGUAAAACUCUGUUAUUAGGGAAGAACAAAUGUGUCAGUAACUAUGCACGUCGUGACGGUAACUAAUCAGAAAGCAACGGCUAACUACGUG
rnacentral:rRNA from 1 species